CUCUAAUAGCGUAUAUUAAAGUUGUUGCAGUUAAAAAGCUCGUAGUCGGAUUUCGGGCUCGGGCAGGCUGUCGGCCUCGGUCGGACGGCAGGCUCGGGCCUUCUGCCUGGGGACUCCGUCACACUUAACUGUGGGGCGGUUGGACGCAGGCCGUUUACUUUGAAAAAAUUAGAGUGUUCAAGCAGGCCUACGCUUGAAUA
rnacentral:rRNA from 1 species